CAAAAGAAAACCUAAUCUGCUGUUUGUGUCUUUCUCUUCUCCUUUCCUUUAUCUCUGCAGAAACGAAAUCCCUAAAUCGCGAAGCACCCAAGCACCGACGCCGCUCUGCCGCUCUCGUCAGUCGUCACCGCCCUCGCGCUCGCACCACCGCCGCCAUUCCGCCGGUCAUCUGAAGCUUUGCUGAGCCGCUGACCCCCGCCGAGCUCCUCUGGUUUUGCCCGCGAAGUCGCUGAGCCCCGCCGAGCUCGCACCUGAGCAGUGACGCCGCCUCCGUUCGAUCGCCUCAUCCCACCUGCUGCUGUUGCCUCGCCGACGCCCUUGAUCGACAAAUCUCCGUUCGAUCGCCCCUCGCCGCGAAGUCGCUGACCCCCGCAAAUCUCGCGUUCGCAAAUCUCCCCUGUUGCUGAUCUACCGACGCCCGAACGACGCCCCCCCUGCUCUGCUCGCUGACACCAGCUGAAGCCGCGUCCCACCGAGCCCCUUGCUGCAAUUUGGGAGUGCUUCUGUUCUGUUUUCUGGGAUCCAAGCCAUUCUGAAUCUCUGAUUGUGCUGUCCAUCAGAGGCCAAAAUGCAGAUUUCUAAUCGAUGGGUGACAACUAGGCCCAAGGUCCCCUGCGAUUUGUGAACUCCGCCGUGCUAUUUACGUCUGGGGAGUACCGAUAGUUGCAGGCACGAGGGCUUGGUUAGGUCUUGGGUACGAUCCUUCUGAGGUACAUUGUGAAACCCUCGACGUAGAUAAUUUAUGUUUGGUGUGCAGAUUGUAACAGUUCGAGUCCUCGAAGCGAGUUGC